rnacentral:rRNA from 1 species
UACAGAGGUCUCAAGCGUUGUUCGGAUUCAUUGGGCGUAAAGGGUGCGUAGGCGGCGCGGUAAGUCGGGUGUGAAAUCUUGGAGCUUAACUCCGAAACUGCAUUCGAUACUGCCGUGCUUGAGGACUGGAGAGGAGACUGGAAUUUACGGUGUAGCGGUGAAAUGCGUAGAUAUCGUAAGGAAGACCAGUGGCGAAGGCGGGUCUCUGGGACAGUUCCUGACGCUGAGGCACGAAAGCCCAGGGGGAGCAAAA